rnacentral:tRNA from 1 species
AUAUAGUAGCUUAAUUUAAAGCAUUAAACUUUUAAUUUAAAUAUGAGAGUUUCUCCUGUGUGGU